rnacentral:rRNA from 1 species
GGUUAAGUGACUAAGCGUACAGGGCGGAUGCCUUGGCAAUCAGAGGCGAUGAAGGACGUGCUAAUCUGCGAAAAGCUUGGAUGAGUCGAUAAGAGGCGUUUAAUCCAAGAUGUCCGAAUGGGGAAACCCAGUAGAUGAAGAAUCUACUAUCAAUAAAUGAAUACAUAGUUUAUUGAGGCGAACCGGGAGAACUGAAACAUCUAAGUACCCCGAGGAAAAGAAAUCAACCGAGAUUCUGUGAGUAGCGGCGAGCGAAAGCGGAAGAGCCAGUAAGUUUUAGCUAGCGUAUUAGAGGAAUUGGCUGGGAAGCCAAAUCAAAGAGGGUGAUAAUCCCGUACUCGAAAGUAUGGUAGUGGAACUAAGCUUACGAUAAGUAAGGCGGGACACGAGAAAUCCUGUUUGAAGAUGGGGGGACCAUCCUCCAAGGCUAAAUACUCCUGAUUGACCGAUAGUGAACCAGUACUGUGAAGGAAAGGCGAAAAGAACCCCGGUGAGGGGAGUGAAAUAGAACCUGAAACCCUGUACGUACAAGCAGUAGGAGCGAGGGCAACCUUGUGACUGCGUACCUUUUGUAUAAUGGGUCAGCGACUUAUAUUUUGUAGCGAGGUUAACUGAAUAAGGGAGCCGAAGGGAAACCGAGUCUUAACUGGGCGUUGAGUUGCAAGGUAUAGACCCGAAACCCGGUGAUUCUAGCCAUGGGCAGGUUGAAGGUUGGGUAACACUAACUGGAGGACCGAACCGACUAAUGUUGAAAAAUUAGCGGAUGACUUGUGGCUGGGGGUGAAAGGCCAAUCAAACCGGGAGAUAGCUGGUUCUCCCCGAAAUCUAUUUAGGUAGAGCCUUGAGCGGACACCUUCGGGGGUAGAGCACUGUUUCGGCUAGGGGUCCAUCCCGGAUUACCAACCCGAUGCAAACUGCGAAUACCGAAGAGUGAUACUCAGGAGACACACGGCGGGUGCUAACGUUCGUCGUGGAGAGGGAAACAACCCAGACCGCCAGCUAAGGUCCCGAAGUCUAUAUUAAGUGGGAAACGAAGUGGGAAGGCUUAGACAGCUAGGAUGUUGGCUUAGAAGCAGCCAUCAUUUAAAGAAAGCGUAAUAGCUCACUAGUCGAGUCGGCCUGCGCGGAAGAUGUAACGGGGCUCAAAUAUAGCACCGAAGCUGCGGCAUCAGAAUUUAUUCUGUUGGGUAGGGGAGCGUUGUGUAAGCGGAUGAAGGUGGCUCGAGAGGGUUGCUGGACGUAUCACAAGUGCGAAUGCUGACAUAAGUAACGAUAAAACGAGUGAAAAACUCGUUCGCCGGAAGACCAAGGGUUCCUGUCCAACGUUAAUCGGGGCAGGGUGAGUCGGCCCCUAAGGCGAGGCUGAAAAGCGUAGUCGAUGGGAAACGGGUUAAUAUUCCCGUACUUGGAUAAACUGCGAUGUGGGGACGGAGAAGGUUAGGUUAGCAGACUGUUGGAUGUCUGUUUAAGGUGGUAGGUGGAAGACUUAGGCAAAUCCGGGUCUUUAUAAAACACUGAGAGCUGAUGACGAGGUCUUAAGGGACUGAAGUAACUGAUACCCUGCUUCCAGGAAAAGCCACUAAGCUUCAGGUUUAUCUAAACCGUACUGAAAACCGACACAGGUGGUCAGGUAGAGAAUACUCAGGCGCUUGAGAGAACUCGGGUGAAGGAACUAGGCAAAAUAGCACCGUAACUUCGGGAGAAGGUGCGCUUACAGUAAUUGUAGUCCCUUGCGGAUGAAGGUGAAGUAAGUCGAAGAUACCAGCUGGCUGCAACUGUUUAUUAAAAACACAGCACUCUGCAAACACGAAAGUGGACGUAUAGGGUGUGAUGCCUGCCCGGUGCUGGAAGGUUAAUUGAUGGUGUUAUCGAAAGAGAAGCUCCUGAUCGAAGCCCCAGUAAACGGCGGCCGUAACUAUAACGGUCCUAAGGUAGCGAAAUUCCUUGUCGGGUAAGUUCCGACCUGCACGAAUGGCAUAAUGAUGGCCAGGCUGUCUCCACCCGAGACUCAGUGAAAUUGAAAUCGCCGUGAAGAUGCGGUGUACCCGCGGCUAGACGGAAAGACCCCGUGAACCUUUACUAUAGCUUGACACUGAACAUUGAAUUUUGAUGUGUAGGAUAGGUGGGAGCCUUUGAAGCAGUGACGCCAGUCAUUGUGGAGACGACCUUGAAAUACCACCCUUUAACGUUUGAUGUUCUAACGAAGUGCCUGAAACGGGUACUCGGACAGUGUCUGGUGGGUAGUUUGACUGGGGCGGUCUCCUCCCAAAGCGUAACGGAGGAGCACGAAGGUUUGCUAAUGACGGUCGGACAUCGUCAGGUUAGUGCAAUGGUAUAAGCAAGCUUAACUGCGAGACAGACAAGUCGAGCAGGUGCGAAAGCAGGUCAUAGUGAUCCGGUGGUUCUGAAUGGAAGGGCCAUCGCUCAACGGAUAAAAGGUACUCCGGGGAUAACAGGCUGAUACCGCCCAAGAGUUCAUAUCGACGGCGGUGUUUGGCACCUCGAUGUCGGCUCAUCACAUCCUGGGGCUGAAGUAGGUCCCAAGGGUAUGGCUGUUCGCCAUUUAAAGUGGUACGCGAGCUGGGUUUAGAACGUCGUGAGACAGUUCGGUCCCUAUCUCGCCGUGGGCGUUGGAUGAUUGAUUGGGGCUGCUCCUAGUACGAGAGGACCGGAGUGGACGCAUCACUGGUGUUCCAGUUGUCUCGCCAGAGGCAUUGCUGGGUAGCUAAAUGCGGAAGAGAUAAGUGCUGAAAGCAUCUAAGCACGAAACUUGCCAAGAGAUGAGUCAUCCCUGACUUUAAGUCAGUAAGGGUUGUUGUAGACUACGACGUAGAUAGGUUGGGUGUGUAAGUGUAGUGAUACAUUGAGCUAACCAAUACUAAUUGCCCGAGAGGCUUAACCAU